GCAAGCAGUUGUGGCUAUGAAAGUUUGCUUUUUUUGGUUAUAGCAUAUAUAUUCCAAAAAUAAUUUGAUUCCUAAUUCUUUAUGAUUCAGAACUAUGUUGAUGUUAAUGAUGAAUUUUGGUUUGCAGAUGACCCUGAAGUACCUAAUGUCCGACACCAUGUAACUUUUUGAAAGAACAUGUUUUUAAGGAGUCCAGUUGUGCAGAAGACAUCUCCAUUAACCGGUAAUAGAUGAAAUCGUUUGCUAUCAAGGUUUCCGUGCAGAAGAGCGAAAAUGCUGCAAGUGGAGGAUAGAUAACAGCUCAAGACACAUGGUAUGAGGGUGCAGGUAAACUGUACAUACAUAUGCAUCUGGAAAAAGUAAAAAGUAAAGGAGGGUGGCUGUAGCUUCUCCUUCUCGCCACAAUAGAAAAUACUUUUGAACUGCAUUAAGCUGUUAAUAAAUUAAGCUUAAGCUAUAUUUUAUUUAUCAAGAAUGGGUAAACUGUUUUAAAUAGAAAAAUUAAGUGCUUAUAUUAGGUACACUGUCAAUUUUACAAAGUUUUCUGGUAAAUUAGAUAUAUAGUUUAAUUCGCAGAGUUGUGUUGACCUUU